rnacentral:rRNA from 1 species
AGAGUUUGAUCAUGGCUCAGAACGAACGCUGGCGGCGUGGAUAAGACAUGCAAGUCGGACGAGAUUUCGUCCUGUAGCAAUACGGGAAGAAGUCUAGUGGCGAACGGGUGCUUAACACGUGGGCAAUUUGUCUUAAAGUGGGGGAUAGCUCGGCGAAAGCCGAAUUAAUACCGCAUGUGAUUAGAAUGGACAUCCAUUCGAAAUUAAAGUCGGGGCAACCUGACGCUUUUUGAGGAGCCCGCGGCCUAUCAGCUAGUUGGUGAGGUAACGGCUCACCAAGGCUUUGACGGGUAGCUGGUCUGAGAGGACGACCAGCCACACUGGGACUGAGACACGGCCCAGACACCUACGGGUGGCAGCAGUCGAGAAUUUUUCUCAAUGGGGGAAACCCUGAAGGAGCGACGCCGCGUGGAGGAUGAAGGUCUUCGGAUUGUAAACUCCUGUCAUUGGGGAACAAGGUGCAUACGUUAACUGCGUGCGCAUUGAUAGUACCCGAAGAGGAAGAGACGGCUAACUCUGUGCCAGCAGCCGCGGUAAUACAGAGGUCUCAAGCGUUGUUCGGAUUCAUUGGGCGUAAAGGGUGCGUAGGCGGCGCGGUAAGUCGGGUGUGAAAUCUCGGAGCUUAACUCCGAAACUGCAUUCGAUACUGCCGUGCUCGAGGACUGGAGAGGAGACUGGAAUUUACGGUGUAGCGGUGAAAUGCGUAGAUAUCGUAAGGAAGACCAGUGGCGAAGGCGGGUCUCUGGACAGUUCCUGACGCUGAGGCACGAGGGUCAGGGGAGCAAACGGGAUUAGAUACCCUAGUAGUCC